AAAAUAACAUUUGGUUACAAAAACAGGUGAUGGUGUUUUACUAGAUUGUCAGUAGUUAAAAUUAUUUUUUUUCUUUAUUCUAGUUGCAAGAAGCAAAGGAUCGAGAGGCAAAGGACAUAAGAUAUGCGGAGAAGACGCUAGAAGUGCAAAAUGCCAGACAGGAAGAAACCAUCAAACAACAAGCCGCCCAAAUUCAAAACCUUCAGAGCAACUUGUUAAAGACAAGUUUGUUGCAAGAAGCAAAGGAUCAACAUGCAGAGGCCAUAAGAUAUGCCGAGAAGACGCUAGAAGUGCAACAUGCCAGGCCAGAAGCAACCAUCAAUCAGCAAGCGGCCCAAAUUCACAAUCUUCCGAGAAACUUAUUAAGGACAA